rnacentral:rRNA from 1 species
CGUAGGCGGUCCGACAAGUCGGGGGUGAAAUCCUGCAGCUUAACUGCAGAAGUGCCUUCGAUACUGUCGGUCUUGAGGGAGAUAGGGGUGUGCGGAACUUCCAGUGGAGCGGUGAAAUGCGUUGAUAUUGGAAGGAACGCCGGAGGCGAAAGCGGCGCACUGGAUCUCUUCUGACGCUGAGGCGCGAAAGCUAGGGAGCAAACG